rnacentral:rRNA from 1 species
UCCAGACUCCUACGGGAGGCAGCAGUGGGGGAUAUUGCACAAUGGGGGAAACCCUGAUGCAGCGACGCCGCGUGAGUGAAGAAGUAUUUCGGUAUGUAAAGCUCUAUCAGCAGGGAAGAAAAAAGACGGUACCUGACUAAGAAGCCCCGGCUAACUACGUGCCAGCAGCCGCGGUAAUACGUAGGGGGCAAGCGUUAUCCGGAUUUACUGGGUGUAAAGGGAGCGUAGACGGCAAUACAAGUCGGAAGUGAAAUACCCGGGCUCAACCUGGGAACUGCUUUGGAAACUGUAUGGCUGGAGUGCUGGAGAGGUAAGCGGAAUUCCUAGUGUAGCGGUGAAAUGCGUAGAUAUUAGGAGGAACACCAGUGGCGAAGGCGGCUUACUGGACAGUAACUGACGUUGAGGCUCGAAAGCGUGGGGAGCAAACAGGAUUAGAUACCCCUGUAG